GAUAAUUGGGGUGAAGUCGUAACAAGGUAGCCGUAUCGGAAGGUGCGGCUGGAUCACCUCCUUUCUAAGGAA
rnacentral:rRNA from 2 species